AACAGAGGGGGCGAGCAUUAUCGGUGUUGACUGGGCGUAAAGGGUGUGUAGGCGGGAAGUAUAAUAAACGCUUGAUAGGAAUGUUUACGUAUUGACGUAAUCCGAAUCUUGCAAAAGGCUUUCUAUAGAGGUAUGCAAAAGUUAUUUGGAAAAGAGCAUGCGAGUUAGUCGCUCUUAAAAGACUGCUUGGUACCACCAAUGGCGAAGGCAAAAUUCUAGGCAUAACCUGACGGCUGAAACACGAAACAAGUGGGGCGCAAAAGGG
rnacentral:rRNA from 1 species